rnacentral:rRNA from 1 species
GAUGAACGCUGGCGGCGUGCUUAACACAUGCAAGUCGAACGAUGAUGCCCACUUGUGGGUGGAUUAGUGGCGAACGGGUGAGUAACACGUGAGUAACCUGCCCUUGACUCUGGGAUAAGCCUGGGAAACUGGGUCUAAUACCGGAUAUGACCUUCCAUCGCAUGGUGGUUGGCGGAAAGCUUUUGUGGUUUUGGAUGGACUCGCGGCCUAUCAGCUUGCUGGUGGGGUAAUGGCCUACCAAGGCGACGACGGGUAGCCGGCCUGAGAGGGUGACCGGCCACACUGGGACUGAGACACGGCCCAGACUCCUACGGGAGGCAGCAGUGGGGAAUAUUGCACAAUGGGCGCAAGCCUGAUGCAGCGACGCCGCGUGAGGGAUGACGGCCUUCGGGUUGUAAACCUCUUUCAGUAGGGAAGAAGCCGCAAGGUGACGGUACCUGCAGAAGAAGCGCCGGCUAACUACGUGCCAGCAGCCGCGGUAACAC